rnacentral:rRNA from 1 species
CCUACGGGUGGCAGCAGUGAGGAAUAUUGGUCAAUGCACGAGAGUCUGAACCAGCCAAGUAGCGUGAAGGAUGACUGCCCUAUGGGUUGUAAACUUCUUUUAUAUGGGAAUAAAAUGUUCCACGUGUGGGAUUUUGUAUGUACCAUAUGAAUAAGGAUCGGCUAACUCCGUGCCAGCAGCCGCGGUAAUACGGAGGAUCCGAGCGUUAUCCGGAUUUAUUGGGUUUAAAGGGAGCGUAGGUGGAUUGUUAAGUCAGUUGUGAAAGUUUGCGGCUCAACCGUAAAAUUGCAGUUGAAACUGGCAGUCUUGAGUACAGUAGAGGUGGGCGGAAUGCGUGGUGUAGCGGUGAAAUGCUUAGAUAUCACGAAGAACUCCGAUUGCGAAGGCAGUUCACUGGACUGCAACUGACACUGAGGCUCGAAAGUGUGGGUAUCAAACAGGAUUAGAUACCCCAGUAGUC